rnacentral:lncRNA from 1 species
AUGGCUGAAGACACCUCAAAAAAAAUUUUUGAUUCUCUGUCAUACACUUCACCAAAAAGGUAUUAUAACAUACAAAGAUGAAGAAAGAAUCGAGAAAGAGGAAAGGAUCAAUGAGCAGCUCAUGAGAACAAUUGAAGACGUAGAUCUGUUCGAAGUCUCUUCGUCUCCAUUCACAAGGAAGAGGAUGAUGAUGCUGGAAGAUGUAGAUCUGGAAGAGGAUGCUGGAAGAGGGAGUUGAAGAACACUUUCGAUGGGUAAUUCCUUCAUUUUAUAUAUAUGUGAGUAAAUUUGUGGGGCUGAAUCUAGAUUGGGUAAUUCCACCACCCGUGACCACAGCUACAGCCCCGUCGGUCUUGUCCCCGUUAAUCAAUUUCGCUCACCCACUUCAAAAUUGGUUCAAUAUAGUGUUCAAUGAU